rnacentral:tRNA from 1 species
CGGGGCGUAGCUCAGCCCGGCUAGAGCGCUGCGUUUGGGACGCAGAAGUCGCUGGUUCGAAUCCAGUCGCCCCGA